rnacentral:rRNA from 1 species
UGAGCAAUCUGCCCUUCUCUUCGGAAUAAGCGUUGGAAACGACGUCUAAUGCCGAAUACGACCUCCUUUCGCAUGAUCGGAGGUGGAAAGCUCCGGCGGAGAAGGAUGAGCUCGCGGCCUAUCAGCUAGUUGGUGAGGUAACGCUCACCAAGGCAACGNUGCGUAGCCGACCUGAGAGGGUNAUCCGGCCACACGUGGGACUGAGACGUACCGGCCCAGACCUGUACGGGGAG